GACGAACGCUGGCGGCGUGCCUAAUACAUGCAAGUAGAACGCACAGUUUAUACCGUAGCUUGCUACACCAUAGACUGUGAGUUACGAACGGGUGAGUAACGCGUAGGUAACCUGCCUGGUAGCGGGGGAUAACUAUUGGAAACGAUAGCUAAUACCGCAUAAUAUUGAUUAUUGCAUGAUAAUUAAUUGAAAGGUGCAAUUGCACCACUACCAGAUGGACCUGCGUUGUAUUAGCUAGUAGGUGAGGUAACGGCUCACCUAGGCGACGAUACAUAGCCGACCUGAGAGGGUGAUCGGCCACACUGGGACUGAGACACGGCCCAGACUCCUACGGGAGGCAGCAGUAGGGAAUCUUCGGCAAUGGACGAAAGUCUGACCGAGCAACGCCGCGUGAGUGAAGAAGGUUUUCGGAUCGUAAAGCUCUGUUGUAAGAGAAGAACGGGUGUGAGAGUGGAAAGUUCACACUGUGACGGUAUCUACCAGAAAGGGACGGCUAACUACGUG
rnacentral:rRNA from 1 species